UGAAAAAACAUUCAAAGCGUUUGGUUUGCGUGUCUCGGUUUGGAGCAUGUUUGCGUCGCACGGUUUGUCAGCACACUGUUAAUGUGCACUAACCUCUAACUGC